AAUUGGGCCGGGCGGGUGGCCGGCUCGCUGAGGGCGGGUCAGGGCCCGCCACGGCGCCCGUAUUCCGUUGCCCCCGGGACCCGGUCCC
rnacentral:tRNA from 1 species